rnacentral:rRNA from 1 species
AUUGAACGCUGGCGGCAUGCCUUACACAUGCAAGUCGAACGGUAACAGGUCUUCGGAUGCUGACGAGUGGCGAACGGGUGAGUAAUGCAUCGGAACGUGCCCAGUAGUGGGGGAUAGCCCGGCGAAAGCCGGAUUAAUACCGCAUACGACCUGAGGGUGAAAGGGGGGGAUCGCAAGACCUCUCGCUAUUGGAGCGGCCGAUGUCAGAUUAGCUAGUUGGUGGGGUAAAGGCCUACCAAGGCAACGAUUUUUAGUUGGUCUGAGAGGACGACCAGCCAGAGUGGGACUGAGACACGGCCCAGACUGCUACGGGAGGCAUCAGUGAGGAAUUUUGGACAAUGGGCGGAAGCCUGAUCCAGCAAUGCCGCGUGCAGGAAGAAGGCCUUCGGGUUGUAAACUGCUUUUGUCAGGGAAGAAAUCUUCUGGGUUAAUACCUCGGGAGGAUGACGGUACCUGAAGAAUAAGCACCGGCUAACUGCGUGCCAGCCGCCGCCGUAAAAC